rnacentral:lncRNA from 1 species
GGUCACCAUCAUCACAGUCUGCAUUGACACAGCCAUCAUGAAGACCUGCACACUCCUUGGCCGUCCCCUCCUACUACUGGCGAUGCUGGUAGUGUCCUGGGCAGGGGCUGUGCCUCUUCAGGACACGCACAGCCUGCAGGACAUCCACUCGGAGGAGCAGCUGCAGGCGUAUCUGGAGAGCAAUCCCUCUGUGGUGCGUGAGCUGUACCCAGACUUGCUCCGCGAUGCCUCCCAGGUGUUGGUGGUUGUUGACCCAGACACGCUGAUGGAGAUGCUGAGGGAGCAGGCGGCGAUUGCCACGCACGAACCCCACCAGGAGGAAGGAGGAGGAGGAGGAGGAGGAAGAGGCCCAAGAAGGAACACAAAAAUACCAAGAAGAUAAGAACCACCGCAGAAAGAGACAGGUCACCUUUGGCGUUGGGAUGAACCGCGGGUCCUACGGAAGGGACUACAGUGCUAAUAUUGGCUACGAGCGUCGCUUCAACAACGGCAGGUCAUCCUUUGGCGUGCAAGCCAACAGGAACUGGGGCGCCAGCGGCAGAUCCCACGGGUUUGGGAUCAGCUUCUCGCAUAGAUUUGGCCGCUAGGGGAGGCACGAAGCUUUUCACAGCUGUCGCAGUGAGACAGACGUUUCCCUCCGCCACACACAGCAAGCCGAUCUUUAAUUUAUAGACUAAACUGUACUGUUUUCCUUUUGGAAUUGUACCAAUAAAAAUAUUUACUUUCGUAAA